GUGGUUGUAGUUCAGCUGGUUAGAACGCCUGAUUGUGGUUCAGGAGGUCGUGGGUUCAAAUCCCAUCUUCCACCCCA
rnacentral:tRNA from 1 species